rnacentral:lncRNA from 1 species
AGGUUAAACAUGUUGGGUUGUGCAGGUUAAACAGGUCUAAACAGGUUAAACGGGUCGGGUUGGGUAAACAGGUUAAACAGGUCGGGUCGGGUUGGACAAACAGGUUACCUGUUUGUUAAACAGGUUAAACGGGUCGGGUCGGAUUACCUGUUUAUUAAACAUGACAGGUUUAGGUUGUAAUUUCCGACCUGUUUAAUAAACAGGUCGGGUUCAGGUUUAUGAUUUUUUGAUCUGACCUGCAUGUAAUCCGACCCGUUUAUGAUCCGACCCGACCCGAUUGCCACCCCU